rfam:Salmonella enterica subsp. enterica serovar Typhimurium str. LT2, complete genome.
AUCAACACAAACCGGAACCUCCACCACGUGCUCGAUAUGAGGGGUGUUGACGUCGGGGGAAACCCUCCUGUAAUCAGCGGGAUAGAGCGAAAGACAAAGACCGGAAACAAACUAAAGCGCCCUUAGCGGCGCUUUAGUUUU